rnacentral:rRNA from 1 species
UACGUAGGUGACAAGCGUUGUCCGGAUUUACUGGGCGUAAAGAGCGCGCAGGCGGUCGAUCAAGUCGAGUGUGAAAGCCCCCGGCUCAACUGGGGAGGGUCAUUCGAUACUGAUCGACUCGAAGGCAGGAGAGGGUAGUGGAAUUCCCGGUGUAGUGGUGAAAUGCGUAGAUAUCUGGAGGAAUACCGGCGGCGAAGGCGGCAUCCUGGACCGACAUUGACGCUGAACGACGAAAGCUAGGGGAGCAAACGGG